GAAGUCAACUCUAGAUUCAAGAAUCAAGAUCCGAUUUGGUGUGGAUCUGAAUAAUCUAAAUGGCUUAGAUGAGUUUGGAAAACGAUUCACUAAGGCCUUUGACGAUUCCAACGUUAUUGUGUUCGAUUUGUCAUGGAAAAUUGGAAAAAAAAAAAAGGUUUCUUUAAAUUGUCUUGGAGCCCUCUCUUGAAGCAAAACCUCAUAACAUCGACGACUAAUUAUUCAAGUGGAUCAGACGCUAGAGAGAGCAGAUGAGAAAUGAAAAGCUUUAUAUAAGAACAUUUUCUCUUUCUCAUUAAGUUGCCUUUUUCUUAGCCUUAUGGAUUAAUUGAUGUGUUUCUGUGACCAGAGUGGAGAAGAAGACGUAUUGUUAAGGUUUUUGAUGGAGAGCGAAAAAGAUCCAGAAAACAUGACCAAUAAAUACUAUAGCAGGCAGAAUAUCAAACCAAGUUACCAACUGAUCAAUUUCCACAGGCUUCAACCAAGCACACGAGUUAUACAUUGCUUAAUUUAUUCAGCAGGGAAGUUAAGACUUCAGACCCUGCAAAGCCAAAUGUUGAGUACAUUCUAUGGCAAGGUUGUGCAGGCGUGGUACCAUUACAACGUUUUUGUCAGAUCUUUCGGGAGAUGAGUUCUUCACUGUCGAUGGAGAAAAAUGGAAACAUCAACGGAAGAUAUCUGGCUAUCAAUUCUCAACAAAGAUAUUGAGAGAUUUCAGCGCUUUUGCGUUAAGAGUAAUUCGAUCAAACUGGCUCGGAUAGUGUCCGAGGCUGCAAUCUCAAGCCAAGAUCUGUUUAUGAAAUCAACAUUGGAGGCAAUUUUUAAGAUUAUUCUUUGUUUGGAACUGGAGGAACUGAUGAAUAAGCGGCUAGAUUUUCUAAUGCUUUUGAUAAAGCAAGUGCUCUUACCCUGUAUUGCUAUGUUGGUGCCUUUUGGAAGAUCAAAAGGUUCCUAAACAUCGGCUCUGAAGCAGUUCUGAGGAAGAACAUCAAACUGGUAGAUGAGUUCGUUUACAAAGUAAUCGAAGCACGAUUGAAGAAGUCCACAGCUCACAAGAUCAAGAUGUGCCUCUGAGUAGUUGACACUUAAAAUAGAGAUGCAAUUGUUUGAUGUAACGCAUAUAUACAAUCUUACCUGUCAAUAUAAAAAUUAGCAUGACUGAAAACACUUAACAUGAUGUAGUGGAUUCUCAAUAAUGUAAUUGAGUAGUGUGUAAAACUAAGAAAAGUUGCUUAUUUUUCUAUUAAAAAAAGCUUUAUGCUCAAAAUUGUGACAGAAAUGUCCUUAUUUAUGGACUAUUGAUGAUAAUAAGGAUAUAUAAAUGAUAGGGGAAGAAAGGAGACAUUUGUCUAGACUUGUCAAAUUGGGAGAGAAAGAUGUGAAGUACAUAAAGGACAUGAUUCUGAGUUUUAUAAAGGACAUUUUUACGUGCUCUGCAAGCAUCCGAUCAUGCAAGAAAAGGUUGCACAGGAAAGGAGAGAAGAACUAAACUUGGAAAGAGAGUUGUAGGAUCGAUGAACUCGCAGCCAUCUUCACGGAAGAAGCCCUUGACAAAAUGCAAUAUUUCUUGCAGCUUUGGCUGAGACGCCCAGGCUCAGCCUCACUGAACUAGUUAUUUGUGGUGCUUUUGUAGGAUGGGAAGAUAUGUUAUUCUGAUGAUACCUUACCAGAUGGAUUCAGCCUGAGGAUAGGAGAUGGUGUGGCGUACCUGCCUUAUGCCACGGGCAGGAUAAAGUUUUUAUGGGGCGACGACGCGGAAGAAUUCCAACAAGAGAGAUGGUUCAAUGAAAAUGGCCUUUUCCACCCAGAAAGCCCUUUCAAAUUCACAGCCUUCCAGAAUUCGAUGUCGUGGGAUCCUCGAGUGUGGUUGCGGAAGGUGUUCAAGAGGUCAUCCAACAUCACGACGGAUUCUGGAGAAGAGCAAGCUCAAUGCAACAUCACUAAAGAUUUGAAAUGUCAAGCUCAGAGCUCAAGCAACGACAUUACUGCAGAUUCCGGAUGUUUCUCCAGAGGGAAGGAGCGAGCCGAAUUGCUGGCUAACUCUGAGGCCAUGAAACAAGCCCAAGCAAUAUACGAGGAUGUCAAAGCUGGACAUAAGAUCGACCCUUUCCUUCAGUGGUGUUAAAAGAUGAUCUGAUAUAAUCAAGCAGAGAUGGCAAAACUGUAGGGAUUUUACUGUUAGGCGGUUCGUUGGUUAUGCAAAUUACUAACUAUGCAUUUUCUAGUUUUUUUUUUUUUUUUUUUUCCUAGCCUUUUAUUCUGUAUUACAAAUAGUCUCACUAGUACGGUUUAGGAGAUGGAUUGACAUAUACUCGGUUAUGAGAGUUUAUCUGAGAGGGUAAUUUGUAGCU